UACGUAGGGGGCAAGCGUUGUCCGGAAUUAUUGGGCGUAAAGCGCGCGCAGGCGGUCCUAUAAGUCUGAUGUGAAAGCCCCCGGCUCAACCGGGGAGGGUCAUUGGAAACUGUAGGACUUGAGUACUGGAGAGAAGAGUGGAAUUCCACGUGUAGCGGUGAAAUGCGUAGAGAUGUGGAGGAACACCAGUGGCGAAGGCGACUCUUUGGCCAGAAACUGACGCUGAGGCGCGAAAGCGUGGGGAGCAAACAGG
rnacentral:rRNA from 1 species